UUCGCCCUUGGAUUCCAGACUUUGAUUAUGGCUCAGGACGAACGCUGGCGGCGUGCCUAAUACAUGCAAGUCGAACGCUUCUUUUUCCACCGGAGCUUGCUCCACCGGAAAAAGAGGAGUGGGCGAACGGGUGAGUAACACGUGGGUAACCUGCCCAUCAGAAGGGGAUAACACUUGGAAACAGGUGCUAAUACCGUAUAACAAUCAAAACCGCAUGGUUUUGAUUUGAAAGGCGCUUUCGGGUGUCGCUGAUGGAUGGACCCGCGGUGCAUUAGCUAGUUGGUGAGGUAACGGCUCACCAAGGCCACGAUGCAUAGCCGACCUGAGAGGGUGAUCGGCCACAUUGGGACUGAGACACGGCCCAAACUCCUACGGGAGGCAGCAGUAGGGAAUCUUCGGCAAUGGACGAAAGUCUGACCGAGCAACGCCGCGUGAGUGAAGAAGGUUUUCGGAUCGUAAAACUCUGUUGUUAGAGAAGAACAAGGAUGAGAGUAACUGUUCAUCCCUUGACGGUAUCUAACCAGAAAGCCACGGCUAACUACGUGCCAGCAGCCGCGGUAAUACGUAGGUGGCAAGCGUUGUCCGGAUUUAUUGGGCGUAAAGCGAGCGCAGGCGGUUUCUUAAGUCUGAUGUGAAAGCCCCCGGCUCAACCGGGGAGGGUCAUUGGAAACUGGGAGACUUGAGUGCAGAAGAGGAGAGUGGAAUUCCAUGUGUAGCGGUGAAAUGCGUAGAUAUAUGGAGGAACCACCAGUGGCGAAGGCGGCUCUCUGGUCUGUAACUGACGCUGAGGCUCGAAAGCGUGGGGAGCAAACAGGAUUAGAUACCCUGGUAGUCCACCGCCGUAAACGAUGAGUGCUAAGUGUUGGAGGGUUUCCCCCCUUCAGGGCUGCAGCUAACGCAUUAAGCACUCCGCCUUGGGGAGUACGACCGCAGGUUGCACCUCAAAUGAAUU
rnacentral:rRNA from 1 species